rnacentral:lncRNA from 1 species
AAUAAAUAGGACUAAUUUUCUUAAUAUAUAAUGUGUUCUUAUAACUCAGUAGAAAAAUUGGCAAAGAAUAUGAACAUCUGUUCUUGAAGAAAGGAGAAAAAGAGCAAGAGAAUGGAUCUCAGCCAUAGAAGCAUUUAGGAGGGAGCAGUGUUUACCUGGCGUCCACCUUUGUUGAUAGUGUUUUUGUGUAAUUAUCAAGGUAGAAAUUCAAACCAUAGUAGAACAGAAACAAUCCCAUUCGUCACAUCUGACCACGAAGGGAUUCAUCAGUUGCUUAGUGGGAGAAGAAUAGGAAAUUCAUACCAGAAUCCUAUUUCACAGUUUAUAAUUGGUUAUAUAAAAUUAGGCCUAAGCUAACUGCAUAACAAAACAUACCAGGAGGGGAAAUGAAAUGGCAUCAAGAAUGAAAAGGAUGCUGACAAAGGGACUUCAAUUCCAUCUCGUCCUCUAGCUGUACUACUCAGCGGCAGGCACUAAGGCAGAAGGAUAAAUAAGACAUGGUCCCUGCCAUCAAAGUAGUCAUGGUCUGAUGGGAAGAAAGGCCUACAAAAACAGUCACGUGGCAGUGCACAGGACACAGUGCUCACCCUCCAUAAGCACAGACCUUUCUGCUGGUGCAGACCCGGAGCCAGCUUCUCAGCAUGCACAGCAGAAUGUGCACUACAGCAGCACCCUGCCCUAGGACCAUGGGAGCACAGGAGAAGGGGCAAUUAACACUCAGUUUUUCAUCUUUGAACCACAGUCACUCUCUGAAAUUACAUCUUAGGGCCUUAGGGCUAUUUUCACUGCAUGGCACUGUUGGGUGACUCAUCAUAAAUUUAGAGCUGGAGAAGAAUGCUGAGAUUAUUAUAAUGCAAUCCCUCAUGUUAUAGGUGGGAAAACAGGCCUAAAGAGGUAAGGUCACAGGUAGGAAGAAGUAGAAACUGCUUCUGCACCCAGAUCUCUUGACUUCCAUGUCUUGCUAAUUUUCAGCAGUUAUGAGAUACCCAAAUCUUUUUCCUGUUUUGAUUCUCCCUACCUCCUUUCAUACUAUACAGUUUCAUUCAACUAGGUGUAAUAAUGGAAGACAAGGACUCUGAAUAAAUAUGAAACUUCUCCGUGG